rnacentral:lncRNA from 1 species
UCCAGAGAUCUGCUGGGGGAUGGUGUGAGCCCAAAGAAGCCGAUUUCCUUCUUGAAGGGGGUGAGAAGAAGGGAGACUGUGACUUGACCAAGCCAAUCGGCAAACUACCUUCCCUCCCAACAGAAGUUGAUUUGUUCAGGAGGAGGCAUGUGACAAAAGCUGGGCCACUCAGAGCCCAUCUAAGGACUUCACUGAAAUGCUGACAUAAAGCAGCCACUUGUGCCACAGGGGGAAAGCCAGCCUCAAGUGAAACUGUCUCGCAAAGAAAUAGAGAUGAAUGACUUGUAGAGAACUGGAAACAAACAAAAUGAAACUUGCAGAGAAAAUAUUGCAAGUAAAUGUUGAACCUCUGGAUCGAACCAUGGCUGAGUCCCUCCUGGCUCUGACUUUUCAGUUAGAUCUCCAAGAGGACCCUCCUGCCUCUGCUUCUCUUCCUCCCCUGAAGUCAAUUUUGCAGUGUGCUGGUCAGCCUCAUCCAGCCCCUCUUUUCUGGGAACUGCUCUAACUCUAUGGCUGGAUUGACUGGCCAAGAGACAGACACCAGGGGUCCAGUUUCCUCUGAAGUUUGCAAGGACACAUGGAAGGUCAGCAGAAACUUGGCCAUCUCAGUGUCCUGGUGGGUGAUUUUUACGAGGAUUUCUCAUCACAGAGGAUGGGAACCCAAAGGAGAAUGGCCGCCAUUGGAGCCUUUCCUGUCCCUCCACUGCUCAAAACAACUGAACUCUGUGUCAGUUGGGCUGCAAGUAAAGAAAACUCAACUAAUGGAGGCCUCAUUGAACAGGAGUUCAUUUUACUCACGUAACAAACCUAUGUGGUCCCAGGAUUGUCUCACGGCCCAGUAAAGGCAAAGCAUGGCGUUAGCAAGUCUGAGAUGUUCUUGAAUUUCCCCCCAUUGCUGCAAGAUGGCCCCUACAGCUCCAAACAUCACAUCCUCAAUGGUGAAUAAAGCUGAUCUCCAACUGGGAAGAACCUCUGUCUCCUGGUGUGGUGAAGGCUGUUGGAGCAUCUGCAGGAGCAUCCAAACCCUGUGCUAUUGGGGUAGUCCAUGCCCUUCAAGCCAGUCAUGGCUUUCCUGUUUCCUCUGUCAAAUACUGGCUAAGGAUAGGUCUGUGAUGCAAUUCUGGCCAGUGAGACAUGAUGGAAGAGCUGCUGGGUGAAAUUCUGGGAAAAGUUCCCUUACUCUUUAGAAGAUGGAUCCAGGAGAAGAGAGUCUCUUUUGCUGAGUGUUGUCAUAUCUGGAGGUGAUGCCUGGAACUGUGGCAGCUGACUUGUGAUUAUGAGGGAAGCUGGCCUGAAAACAGACUGGCCCACUGAAGAGGAGGGCAGCAUGGAAUGUGGAAUAAACCUGGGUCCCUGUUGGCUUCCUGCGGCCCUGAUCUAACCAGCCCUGAGCUGUCCUACCUCUGCACUGCUUGGCACAGGAGACACAUCUUGAUUGUUUAAGCCCCUUUGAGUUGGGUUUUCUGUUCCUUGCAGCUGACAGCACUCUAACCAAUCCACACAUUUCCCUCUGCUCGAUUUCCUGCUCCAGAGAGACAGGCACAGACCAGUACCGGGCAGCCCCACUCUGGGGAAAAACAACAGUGCUUAUUGUUUGCCGGCACAGUGGGAGCUCUGCCUCCUGGCACAGUGGGAGCUCUGCCUCCUGUGGCAGGCUGGCCAUUCCAAAACCACACUGCCUGCCACUGCCAUAAAGAGGCCAGGACUGUGUUCAAAACCCCAGGCAGCAGGAGGAGUGGUUUGUGGGAGGUGUUGUGGUAGUGCAUAAAGGAAGGUCAUUUCCUGACCCUCAGAACCCACACUGCCCUCAGCCCCACACAGCCCUACCCAGCCCAGCAUCGCCCCCAGUGCCCCUGGAGACAAUAAUGGCAGCCACCCACUGGCUGCUCCUGUGCGGGCAGGGCAGGAAAGCUGGUGGUUAAGUGCUGGAGAACCCCCAGGCCCUGGGCUUGGCCGGAAAGGAUUUCUGUAGAGACAGCGUGGACAUUCUGUCCUCUGCAGGCCGCCUGGUACAGGAUGAAAACAGGCCGGCUCAGUACUUUUUUGGCAACCGAUUAUAUAGAUUUGCAUCCACAUGAGCUCCCUCUUGCAAUGAACCAGGCCCCCACAAGGGCUCUCCCCACAGUCAUUUGUGUUGAGAACGCUCUGAGCCCUUGAGCCUCCUUCCUCUCUGGGAAAGGGACUUGUUGGCAGUGAGAAGAACCUAGAGGGAGGCACUUCUGGAGGCAUUUCCUUUCUGGGAGGAAAUGCUCCAGGGCUCUCCUCCAUCCACCAACAGCCUCCAAGUUGAGUAAGUGGCAGCGAAGGUCACGCCUGAGCUGGCAGCCAUGGAACCUCACCUCCUGCUUUUCCAGCUUCGUUCCCAAAGACGUCCCUCCACGAGCUUGUGCUCAUGCCAUGCCUAUGCUGGAAGCCCUUGCUGUCUGCAGGUGGCGAUGUGACCCGGGCCUGGCCCUGGGGAUUUGUUCAGGCGUGUCACUCUUUCUGACCAAAGGGGACCAGCCUUGGGGCUUUUGUGGAAACCUCUGAGAAAGGGAGGUCCACAAUUCUGGUUUCCUAGCUGGAGAGAAUACGCCUGGCCCUGCUGGCAACCAUCUUUCCCACCCAAGGGAGUCAGCCUGGACAUUUUAGUCACUUGAGUCAAUAAAUUCUGUUUGCAAAGAAAAAAAAAAAUCGCUUUGAGCCGGGCUUUCUGUGGCUUACAGUGGAAACUCAUUAGUAAUAUAAAUGCAGAUAUCCCUCUUAGGCCAAAGUAAUCUCUCCUUUCUUGCUUGCUCUAUACCACACACACCUGCUUCAUUGGCAUUUACUGUUUCCCCACCUGCACGGGUGACCUUAGCCCCCCUGCACAAAGGCCUGGACGUCGCUGCCUCUGCAGCUGCCCCAGAUCCAGGUGCCGUUAAUUUUACCCUCAAGUUGCGCUAAACUACUCAGUGAAUUAUUGUUGGUCCAAUAAAACCACUUUUGUUUUAUUUAUUCUUUUGUCUCCACACUCACUCCCAUUCCCUUCCCCUGCAUGGGCAACAUGCUCCCCAUAGAUUCCCCCACCUCCUGUGCUGCUUUAAAAAUGCUCUUUCAAAAGAGAUACAGUCUUUAUGUGUUUUUUAAUGUCUGCAAAUGGUAAUGUUUGGGUUCCCAUGUUGCUUCUUCCUUUUUAAACUCAGCCCUGUGUUCAGGCCCAUCCAUGUGGCUAUGUGUGCCUUUCAUCUCUCCUUGUGGCUGCAUAAUUCUCCAUGGUGUGGACCAUUCCCAUUUUGUCUCUCCAUUCUCCCCAGGAUAGAAACCCUAGGGUGCCUCCCGCAGCCCCCAUCCCCAC